rnacentral:rRNA from 1 species
CCUACGGGCGGCAGCAGUGAGGAAUAUUGGUCAAUGGACGCAAGUCUGAACCAGCCAUGCCGCGUGCAGGAUGACGGCUCUAUGGGUUGUAAACUGCUUUUGUACGGGGGUAAACCCCGAUACGUGUAUCGGGUUGAAAGUAUCGUACGAAUAAGGAUCGGCUAACUCCGUGCCAGCAGCCGCGGUAAUACGGAGGAUCCGAGCGUUAGCCGGAUUUAUUGGGUUUAAAGGGUGCGUAGGCGGGUUGUUAAGUUAGAUGUGAACUGUCGGGGCUCAACCCCGAAAUUGCAUGUAAUACUGUUGGACUAGAGAAGAGUUGAGGUAGGCGGAAUGUAUGGUGUAGCGGUGAAAUGCUUAGAGAUCAGAAAGAACACCGAUUGCGAAGGCAGCUUACCAAACUAUAUCUGACGUUGAGGCACGAAAGCGUGGGUAGCAAACAGGAUUAGAUACCCUUGUAGUC